AUAGGAAAUAGGCGCUUCCGCAUAAUCGGUAUGUGUCGCGCACUAAACUGUUUACGUAUGCACCGGUUAACAAAAUCGAUGUGUUCCGGCACUCGCAGUCAGAAAGGUAAGUUUUAUUUCUCAAAAUAUUCUGUUAAGUACUAUUUGUCAACGUAUAAACACAUGUUCAGUCCAAACUUACGAUAUCAAAGAUUGAAUUUAACCCGGAUUUUUUAGCGAAGCCAUUUGAAAUCAUUGAUUUUAAAGGUGUGUAGUUCUGUUCUGUCAUUCUCUAUUCAUAACUUGUGUUUACACGAAUCUUCAAAAUGUGCAUAUUUAUGUGGGUUUCAUUGGUGAACCAGUGGCGCAUGGAAGCUAAAUAUACUGUUAAUGGCAGUUGGUAAGUGGGAAUGGUCAAUUAUUUAUGGUUUGUUUUUGGUUUGCAAAAUAAUCAAAAUGUUAGUUUGACAGACGACAACAACAACAACUCGUUAUAGUUUGUUUCAAGACAUCUAGAAAAUAGAAUAAUAGAAUCAUUUUGAUUUUGUUCGAUGAUACAAACUGGAGCAUAUUAUGAUCUGUUUGUUGGAUGAUUUUAACAUAAUGUUUUAACUGAAAAUUGUUUUAUGGUACUAGAAAAGGAAGCUGUGUGUUCACUGUUGGCACAUUAAAUGAUUGACAGCAUUGGAUAAAUAAUGCUCUAUUGGAUAAAUACGUAAAGUACAUUGGACAGCUGAGAUUGUGGUGUGGACAGCUGAGAUUGUGUUUUGGACAGCUGAGAUUGUGACUUGGACAGCUGAGAUUGUGGUGUGGACAGCUGAGAUUGGUGUGGACAGCUGAGAUUGUGGUGUUGACAUCUGAAAUUGUGAUUUUGACAGCUGAGAUUGUGCUGUGGACAGCUAAAAUUGUGGUGUGGACUACUGAUAUUGUGGUGUUGACAACAUAUUGUGGUGUGCACAUGUGAUAUUGUGGUGUGAUGGUUUAAAGUAGCAAAGGUAAAGAACGUUUGACAGCUUAGAUUGUGGUGUGGACAGCUGAUAUUGUGGUGUGGACAGCUGAGAUUGUCAUGUGGACUACUUAUAUUGUGGCUUGCAGAGCUGAUAUUGUGGUGUGAUGGUUUAAAGUACUAAAGAUUUAUUCCUUACUACCUUCCUGUCAACUAUAUCUUCCACAGCAUGAUUCAAUCUAGUCCCAAUCAUUGACUCUGGUUACCUCACCAGAUGGUCCGUCCACAGAGUCACAAGCAACAGAUACUAAAACUCGGCAAAGUACAUGUACUUCAGUCUUCCAGAGGAUAUUGUUAACAAUGAUGAUUUGAUGUCAAAAAGAAAAUGUAUUUGAUUAGCUAUAUUUCUCUUGUGUCACUUGGGUGUCAAAGGUCAUUUUAGAGAUUGUCCGGGCUCUAACUUUGCAACGCAUAAACGGGCUUAAAUGUUUGCCUCAGCUAGACAGUGUUGUGUUGAACUCCCAGUCCUUUUGACCGCUGGCGGGCUCGACAUGUUUCCUGUGGGCAUUUAGUUUAUAUUGCAUAUACUUCAAGUAGAUACACAUUUUAGAAUACCGGUAGAUAACCAAAUAAGAAAGAAAACA